CGAGUGCUAAGUUCUGUAGCAACUGACGUCACUCAUGGCCGGCUGAUGUCAACUCAAGGUUUCGUUGUUCUUGGCAGAGUGGAGCCUGAAGUGAAACAUCAAGAGUGAUGAUUCUCUACUUCUAACAGUACCAGCCAGCACAGAAGAACUCACUUGUUGGGCGAAGCACCGUCGCGCAGGCGACCCAUCUUGUAACGUUAGCAUGGCAGACCCUGAGACCGGAUCAGUUGCUGCACUCGCAGGCCUGAUCGCCAGUCCUGUCGCAGACUCCUACACCAACCUGUCUGAACCUUUAAGUCAAGGAAUCCACUAUGACGUCAUCUCUGUUGAAGCGGAUAAGUCUGAGGAAGGCACAGUUUCAGACCUUCUGGUUAUGGAGAAUGAUGACGCAACUGAAAUGUAUGAACUAGAUCCAAACCUAGCUGUCGCUGUGACAACGGACGUAAAAGACAACUUGAACGAAGUUUCCGAUGUGUAUAUUUCUAGAGAAGCGUUGAGCCGGCUGGCCGAGAAAAGCGAAGACCUCCAGCGCUCUGACGUGCCACUGACCCAGCCAAGCACGAAACCAAGAAAGAAAUUUCUGUUUAAAGGCAAGUCUGACCUAGUCGCCUCGCAGACGAUUAGACCUCUGGCACCGAGACGAACUACCAAACUAUAUGAAAGAGGAUCGAUGGAUACGUUUAGUGUCUCUGACAAUAUUUAUGAUCAGGAACUCGAUCAAACAAAAAUCAACACAGACGUUGAAGCACUCCAAAUGUACAGCUUACAAGGCCUGGACAAAGAAACUAUGAAGAGCCCGUCCGAGUCUAGGGAGACAAGCGACCCCCACGUCUUUAAAGAAUACGAGUGUAAAACUUCCAUGGCCUUGCACGACGUUACAAAAUGCAUGGAUGAGUUAAGUACAAACUGCUCUCCAGACAAAUGUGAAUCGCCAGUCCGCAAAAGUCUUGAAGGCAAGCUGGAAUCAACCUUGGUCAAAGAUGUCAUUUCCAGGGAUUCAAGCGAAGACUCGGGUUGCUUCUCUAACCUUUCCAGACAAAGCACAAAUCUCGCAAAUUCUAUUAAUAGCUGUGAUUUUGAUUCAGCCGUCUUCGACGCAGGCCACGAAAGCGCCGAUGAUUCGUAUAGCAGACAUGAGUGUGACUCUGCUCAGCACACUAGCAGCGGCACCUGCGGGCAAGACAUGAAAGACCGCGGCAGCGGCAUGUGCAAAAACUGCUGGGGUCGUGUCAAGAAAGACACCGUGCGCUUGGGUACGCUGGAUGACUUCAAGGCGUACGCCCAGUCCAUCGCCCAGAGCGUCAAAAAUAUUCUGGACAUUAGGCCACGACUUAUGAAAGAUGAAACUAAAUCCUUUGACAGCACCAAGGUGCAAGAUGCGAACAAGAUUUCUAAUACAGAUGAGUCAAGUAAAAGGUCUUUGCAGCGAUUUAAAACAGACAUUCAUCUUGGCUUCCUUAACGAGAGUCGUGCGAAAAUGUUACUAAACCGUAGUGUAACAUGCAAACCAGCUACAAUGGACAGUACCCUGGCUCUACAGGCACCGUCUGAUAUACUGGACGGUACCUUGUCAACGUGCUCUGCUUUAGCUAUAUCGAAAGGUCGUGAUGUGGGCUCACCAAGAAUGAUGAGUCCAUGCAUGGAUGAUGAAGCGUCCAUGCUACUACGAAACUUGGAGCUUAAAAAGAAAAAGCUCAACCGUAUCAAAGCAAUUAAAGAAGAAUCUUUCAAUUUUGUGGCAAAGAAUAACGAGGAGGAAAAGACUAAGCCAGUAGUUCCCCGUACCGCGAAAAUUCAGCCCCGUGUCGAGAGAGCAUCAACAGGCAGUAAUCUAAUCACAAAAACUCAGUCACCAGUCAUCACCACAAAGUUUUCAAAGAAAGAACUCGUUGCUGCUGUCAGCAAAUCGGCUGAUGGUGAUGCAAUUAAAAGAUCGAUUAAAUCUGCAAAAGAUAAACAAAAUGCCAUUAAAAUCCUUCGACUGCAGCUACUCAGAGAAGGAACGCCUGUUGACCCCCCACAUAGCGUCGAGAAGAGACAGGACAGUAAACUCAAGAAAAGCAGCCUUAGCCGCAGUGCUACAGUGUCCUACAAAACGUCUACUACCAAGAAAGACCCGAAACCAAAGUUGACGAAAAAAGAAGACAGUCUGCUCAAAGUGAAUCGUUCAUCCACUAAAAUCACAAUCCGAACCAACAAAGCAUCUGCUUUAAGAAAAGAGAACAGCAUCAAAGGUAAAGAAAGACUGUUUCCCCCAGGGCAUGCAUCGGCUGAGUCGUGGAAGGACGAGCCGGGUAAGGUGGACAUUAGGCAUAGAUCUGCCUCGGACGAUGGCAUUAUGCCCUUGUAUCACCAGAGAUCCGACAUUAAAAAGAGCUGGUCAAGAUCUGCCGUCAACGAAAACAUGAUCCACUCCGAUUUCAAGUCAGGGAUCUUUAAAACUGGAAGAUCAAAAACCGGGGACGCCGUUACCACUGUGGUAGAUGAUGUCAAGCAGACAGAAUACAAAACCAAGUCCUCUGGUCAAAAACUCCCCCACUCCGUGCUUUCUGACCAGCUGUACAGUGGCCAAACUCUUCAUAAUGCUCUCAAGGUGAACGAAACUACACUAGAGCCUCCCAAAUAUGUGGAUCACCCAGUACCUGCACCUCGCACAGACAAGCCUGUCAAAACAAUUCCUGCAGCUGUUCCUCCAGAUAAUUCUUAUUGCGAUGGAGUGAAACAUUUACCUGUCGCUCUAGAACGACAACUGUCGUCCCUUUCUAAAACUAAAUUAGCCGACACGGGCAACUAUUAUAACGAGCCAGCAAUUGACGCUGAUAUCCAUGAACCGAAAUCGUCAGAAGCAACCAAGGUUGACGCGUUGGUCGUGGCGAAGGCUGAACUGUACACAGUGGAGAACACCAAAGAAGACACGUACUAUGAGACGAAAGACAUGGCCUUGUCUAAACGCGAUCGUUCCCACGAGAGCAAGUCUAGCACCAGCUUUCACGUGGUCGCUAAUGUCAGGAGCAGUCACUCGGAUUUGGCACUGAUCAGACCUCAGAGUGUCUGUGAAAAUUAUACGUCCAGGAGACACGGCGGCGAGACUGACGUAGACACGGGAUUUAUCUACCAUUUCGCUAAAAGACAGACAACAAGGGCACAGGUGCCAAACUACCAUGACCUGACUUCAAGUAAGGGCAUCUACACCAUGAGCGGCGAUGUCAGCACAUCAGACAGCUCCUAUAGCAGCAUUAGCGGCAAAAGCGAGCCCGCGGAGAACUGCUACACUGGCGGUUUCUACAAGCAAGAUCCCUUCUACGACCACGACAACAACGGCGAUAGCAGCUCAGCAAGUUCUUCUAGCCAUCUUUACUUUGAACCGACCCAACUCGUGUGCAAUAAAGAGCUGAGCGAACAAGAUCUGUACACUGGAGAUGUUUUCAACAGCGAGCAGAACGACAUGUUUACCAAAGAAGUGCCUUAUUCAAAUGGUAGCACAAACAAUUCUUCACGCCCAGUACAGAGUCGAAUGUCUCGCCGGUACAGAGGUAGGCCACGAAUCGAUUACGUUGUCGACAGCGACCUGGAUAUUAUAAAUGGCACCACAAUGGCACUAUGGGGCAACAACUAUUCCAACAAUAGCAGCAACGGACCAGAUUUCGGAAGAGAAUGGAAUUACGAUGAAUUCUCCAAGGGUGAAGUGGAUUCUAGACCACAGAUAACUACCAGCGAAGACUCCGCCUACACGGAUUACGUCAACCACAGGCCAGCGCCCCUGCCCGUCAAACAGGAAACAAGUUACCAGAAAACCAUUGAUUUCACCAAAUAUGACAUGCAAGAGACCGCGAACACCGGUUUCUUCUUCCAAGCAUCAAAUAAAGUAGACACGGAAGAUAUGUGGUACCGAGGUCCACGAGUUCGAACAUACAUGGGAGAUCCUUUAGAGCGAGGCAUCGAAGCCUGCCCGAAUUUGCAUCGAUUGCCCCCUAAUGACGAGGACGAUAGUUACACUAAUAUCAUUUGCCCAAAGUAUAAGAACAAUAACAAUGAACACGAAUUACCAGUAAAAGAGAUAAAAGAGGAGGACAAUCUUAUCUUUAACAAUCACAACAACAAUCAUUUGGAAGAUUUCUAUACGGGGGAUUAUGAGCCACAAGAUGUAAGACGCAAGCCACCGCUGGGGGUGAAAGAACAGUCUGGUGGAUCUCACUACAGCACAUCCGGGUUUUACAUGGAUUCUGUGAUGAGUCCCCACCCAGCGGGACCCCGGCUGUUUGGACAACAGGGGGAUUCUUACGCCAGCCACGGCGCCUAUGGCUCCAGCGAUUACUCGUCUCCAGGCAUGUACGGCCAUUUGGAGCGUGCUAAUCCCCGUUCACUUUCUAGCAGUCCAUCGCGAGGUGAUUAUGCUGAUCCUCCAUAUGCAUCACCCAGCAUGUACGGGGCAGCUCCACUUGACGGGCGUAUGAGCCGUGAAGCCGAUUCUUGGAAUGUAUACGAGGCAUCUCAAUACAAAACCCCUAGACAAAGCGACUACGAAGAACUGCCAACUCAAAGAUACGGUCGGGAGGUGCGUGUGCAACAAGAGGAGAGGGACAGUUACUUCGACUACACCGCUAGCCGCAACCCGUCCGCGGGCUUCUACGGCGAGAACAAUAUUGCAGGUGCCUUCUCUUCUUUUAAUGCCGCCGUCGCUCCACCGGCAGUGCCAGUUGUUCAUGAAAUCAAGAAAGUCGGUGGAAUCGUUUGUCGCGAGAACGUGGUGAACAAAGAAGACUAUGCAGAAGAUGUCAACCGAGAUCUUAUGGAUGAACCCGGUGCAUGGGUUUCUUACAAGUACAGGGCUGAAGAAGAUACGCGAAAUUUUAAGGAAAUGGGUGGCAGCCGAUCGACCAAGCAUGAACUUUUUUCUCCGACGGAAACCAGUGCCACAGGAAAAUUUAAAGUAUCAGACGACAGUCCGUACGCUACCAACGAAGUUCACGAUAAUUUCGGGGCGAGAAAUAAAUGGAGAGAGAUGAAUGAUCAUGCCGCGAACAAGCGCGACAAAGAUCCAAAGAAUAAAGGUUCGGCCAAAGAGAAAAAAAAUUAUUUGAACGGAACUGCCUGGCGACCCUCCGAUCAGAUUCCAGAAAGAGCAAUGGGAAAGAGACCACAGCAAACUAGCAACAAGCUACCUAUAACGCCAACUAUACUGGAGCAUAACAGCAACACCAGUGCCGCUGGCUCAGGCAACACGGUCUGGUCCACGGUAACAUGGAUCCCAUCCCGUGUUGGCGAUAUGGUCAAAAAAUUGUUUUGAUCUAGUUCCAACACAAGUUGCGUGUCUAGUGGAACUCUUGAAGACAGUAAUUUUUAAAAUAAUAUUUGAUAGUUCAAUAUAUUCAGCAACAGCAUCACCAUAGAAAAUCGUGCAGUAAGUAAAGGAUGUCCACCCCCAAGAAAAAAAGUAACACCAGAACCAUGUAAAAAGAUUUUGACCCGGAAACCUCAGGCCCUUAUACGAAUGGAUUGUUUGUCUCUACCAAGGUGGACAUACUUAGAUACCGCUACUGGAUGCAAGCAGAAUGAUCACACCUCAUCUGAUAUCACUGAUUUAGUACCGGAAACACCCCCUAAGGAUGGCCAUGCUGAGUUUAUCAAACAGAAAAAAUUUAUUCCGAGUCAAGCAAGUAAGAAACCCGAGGAUUUUACAUUGGAAUGGGAGAUGGGUGAAGAAGAGAGAGAGAAAUACCUGCUUCUGGUUCAAACCCUUCCACCGUAUCCACAAACUCAGGUCUUGAGAACCAGAGAAGACCGGCCUCAGGUUUCAAACUACCCUUGACCUUUGUUAAACCAAUAGCAACUUUUUUUUGUUUUGCCUUCCUCCAUAAAUUUGGGAAAACAGCCAGCCAUCCUUUCAAACCAAGUGAAAAAAUGGGAGUCUGUUGUGCAUUAUUAGGGAGGUCCAUCUGCUUCAGCCCUUAACAUAUUACAUCACACUUCAAGCCCUACUCUGGCUAACCAUCAAAAACUGGUAACAUUUUAAAUUUAAAAAAAUAUAAAUUGAAGUUUUAAAAAAUAACAGCAAGAAUAAUGUGAAUUUAGUAAAUGUUUUUCAAGCACACCACUUGAAGCAAUAAUCAUAUACCAGAUGCUACUAUAAAUAAGAUUCUGUUAACAUCUAGCAAACAGUAGCAUAUCACAUUUGAAGAAUUACUUUUAUUAAAAAAGGUAGUUUUUACAAAUAAACUUCAUCAAUUAUGUGAAUUGUUUCAAUCCCUUUGUAAAAUAAACCAUUGCAUAAACUA